AACGAACGCUGGCGGCAGGCUUAACACAUGCAAGUCGAGCGCCCAGCAAGGGGAGCGGCAGACGGGUCUGUAACGCGUGGGAACGUACCCUUAUGUUCGGGAUAGCUCCGGGUAACUGGAAUUAAUACCGAAUGUGCGCUUUGGGGGAAAGAUUUAUCGGCUAAGGAUCGGACCGCGAUGGAUUUGCUUGUUGGUGGGGUAAACGCCUACCAAGGCGACGAUCCAUAGCUGGUCUGAGAGGAUGAUCAGCCACAUUGGGACUGAGCCACGGCCCGAACUCCUACGGGAGGCGGCAGUGGGGAAUAUUGGAAUAUGGGCGCAAUCCUGAUCCACCCAUGCCGCGAGAGUGAUUAAGGCCUUAGGGAUGUAAAUCUCUUUCACCGGAGAAGAUAUUGACGGUACCCGGAGAAGAAGCCCCGGCUAACUUCGUG
rnacentral:rRNA from 1 species